rnacentral:rRNA from 1 species
UACGAAGGGGGCUAGCGUUGCUCGGAAUCACUGGGCGUAAAGCGCACGUAGGCGGAAUGCUAAGUCAGGGGUGAAAUCCUGGAGCUCAACUCCAGAACUGCCCUUGAUACUGGCGGUCUCGAGUCCGGGAGAGGGAUGCGGAAUUCCAGGUGUAGCGGUGAAAUGCGUAGAUAUCUGGAGGAACACCGGUGGCGAAGGCGGCUUACUGGUCCGGUUCUGACGCUGAGGCACGAAAGCGUGGGGAGCAAACAGG